rnacentral:rRNA from 1 species
GACGAACGCUGGCGGCGCGCCUAACACAUGCAAGUCGAACGAGCGAGAGAGAGCUUGCUUUCUCGAGCGAGUGGCGAACGGGUGAGUAACGCGUGAGGAACCUGCCUCAAAGAGGGGGACAACAGUUGGAAACGACUGCUAAUACCGCAUAAGCCCACGGCUCGGCAUCGAGCAGGGGGAAAAGGAGCAAUCCGCUUUGAGAUGGCCUCGCGUCCGAUUAGCUAGUUGGUGGGGUAACGGCCCACCAAGGCGACGAUCGGUAGACGGACUGAGAGGUUGAACGGCCACAUUGGGACUGAGACACGGCCCAGAAUCCUACGGGAGGCAGCAGUGGGGAAUAUUGCACAAUGGGGGAAACCCUGAUGCAGCGACGCCGCGUGGAGGAAGAAGGUCUUCGGAUUGUAAACUCCUGUUGUUGGGGAAGAUAAUGACGGUACCCAACAAGGAAGUGACGGCUAACUACGUG